UAUAUAUAUAUAUAUAGCAAAUGUAAGCAAACUAAGCUUGCGACACUCAUCAGGUGAAUGAUGAUAUCGCGUAUUUACAUGAUGUUAUAACCUAUAGGUAACUUGAGCUAUUAUAUAAAAAAUGUUUGACGUCAUCAGGAAAGCGUAAACCUAUGUUUGUAACCUGAGCUAUUGGCUGCAAAGCAGGAAUUUUUUCCUGUGCCUACAUGCGGAUAUUAGUUCGUUUCUUGAGUUCAGAGAGCUUAAUUUGGGAUAGUAAAUUAUAAUAAACUUUUCGUGCAGGCAUAAUUUGCAACGUUUUGUUUUGUUUGAG